rnacentral:rRNA from 1 species
CAGUCGCCACGGUAAUACGAAGGGGGCUAGCGUUGUUCGGAUUUACUGGGCGUAAAGGGCGCGUAGUCGGGCGGCUAAGUCAGGGGUGAAAUCCCAGGGCUCAACCUUGGAACUGCCUUUGAUACUGGUUGUCUUGAGUCCGGGAGAGGUGAGUGGAACUGCGAGUGUAGAGGUGAAAUUCGUAGAUAUUCGCAAGAACACCAGUGGCGAAGGCGGCUCACUGGCCCGGAACUGACGCUGAGGCGCGAAAGCGUGGGGAGCAAACAGGAUUAGAUACCCCCGUAGUCCCUGUCUCUUAUAC